AUUUUAUUUAAUUUUUAUUUUGUUGAUUUCACCGAGCUCUUGUGCAUUACUUCUUUUUAUUAUGCAUACGAAUAAGAAUAAAAGUUAUUUUGUCUUUUUUUAAUUGCACUUUUUAAAAGAAUAAAAUCGGCAAAGGGUCUGCAAAUAGGUUCCAAUACAUGUAGAUUUACGUGGGAAGUAUAUUGUAACAGCCAUCAUUAUGUAUAUCUCUGAGUCUGCGCUAAGUAUAUUUUAUCGAGAAUUUUAUCACAGUGUUGUUUACAAAGCUAAAGAAGCACGUCA
rnacentral:lncRNA from 1 species